AGUGAACGCUGGCGGUGCGCCUAAAACAUGCAAGUCGAGUGUCCUCGCAAGAGGAACACGGCGAACGGCUGAGUACCACGUGGGUACCUGCCCCGAACUCAGGGAUAACCCCGCGAAAGCGGGGCUAAUACCGGAUGGUCCCGAAAGGGUAAAGAUUUUUCGGUUCGGGAGGGGCCUGCGGCCUAUCAGGUUGUUGGUAAGGUAACGGCUUACCAAGCCUAUGACGGGUAGCUGGAUUGAGAGAUCGACCAGCCAGAAUGGGACUGAGACACGGCCCAUACUCCUACGGGAGGCAGCAGUGGGGAAUAUUGGACAAUGGGCGCAAGCCUGAUCCAGCCAUGCCGCGUGAGUGAUGAAGGCCCUAGGGUUGUAAAGCUCUUUCGGCGGGGAAGAUAAUGACGGUACCCGCAUAAGAAGCCCCGGCUAACUUCGUGCCAGCAGCCGCGGUAA
rnacentral:rRNA from 1 species